GAGGGGAGGGGCUUGCUACGGAAGCCAGGAAGUUAACUGCUGUGAGGUAAAAGUUCUUUCUUUUCGCAGCAACAUGGAAAGAGAGCGGACCAGUUCCUACAAAGAGCUGUUGGUUUCUGAAGAUUUACUACUAUAUAGUUUUCCUUUCUGCCGUGGGUUACCGCAGUGUAUCGACUGUAAACCGACUGAGGGAUGAGGACGUAAAACAAAUAUCGCUGUGAACGUGGUCUAAACUGGAUGAAUUCAAUCCAAGGAUGAUGGUAUAAUCCCAGGAUUUAAUCUGCUGUGGAUCAGCUGGUGAAAAUGGGAGUGAAAACUGAUGUCUGGAUGAAGAUGGGUUAGAGAGAGCUUGAAAGCCAGCGCAGAAGACCACCGCUCAUUCUGGGACUCCCUUUUAUGGUAAACUCUGAAGUUGCAUGGAAUCAGCAAAGCUAAUUCUUGUGAGUGGGGAUGAGUUGGGCUGUGAUCAGAAGUUCUAUUAUCAACUUAUCCACUUUAUAGCUAUAUUUAUACAUUUUUCUAGAUGGCUCUAGUGAGAUUUCUUUCAGAACUAGUGAUAAAUCUAGUGACCCUUUGAAGCUGUUGCAGCUCAGCUGCAACCUGUCUGUCCUGAGUGAGCAGAGAGUUCGGCCAUUAGCCGCUAUUAGCUUCUCCUGCUUCCUAACCUUAACCCCAAAAUUCACACAGAAACAAAGAUACUAAAUAACCUAUGUACACUGUUUUAUCAGCAAAACAGAUGAUUUGUGGGUUAGUUGCGCUUUAAUCUCUUCUGCUCUCAUCCUCACUACAGUUCCGACUGAAAUUUUAUUUGUCUCCUAUUGGAAUGAAAUGGUUUGCAUUCAAAUCUGAUUCUAACAAGCUGAUGAAACGAACCCAUCGCAUGCAGUCUGGAAUGAUCUGAUCUGAAGAAGAACCUUUUUGUUCAGUUGUAUUUGCUGAAUAAACCACUGAACUUUGUAUAAAA